UACGAAGGGUGCAAGCGUUACUCGGAAUUACUGGGCGUAAAGGGUGCGUAGGUGGUUCGUUAAGUCUGAUGUGAAAGCCCUGGGCUCAACCUGGGAAUUGCAUUGGAUACUGGCGGGCUAGAGUGCGGUAGAGGGUAGUGGAAUUCCCGGUGUAGCAGUGAAAUGCGUAGAUAUCGGGAGGAACAUCCGUGGCGAAGGCGACUGCCUGGACCAGCACUGACACUGAGGCACGAAAGCGUGGGGAGCAAACAGGAUUAGAUACCCU
rnacentral:rRNA from 1 species